GAUGAACGCUAGCGGCAGGCCUUACACAUGCAAGUCGAGGGGUAACGUGAGUGCUUGCACUUGACGACGACCGGCGCACGGGUGCGGAACGCGUAUGGAACCUACCUUUAUCAGGGAGAUAGCCCAUGGAAACGUGGAUUAAUAUCCCAUAGUAUUAUUUUAUCGCCUGAUAGAAUAAUUAAAGAAUUUCGGAUAGAGAUGGCCAUGCGUAUCAUUAGCUAGUAGGCGAGGUAACGGCUCACCUAGGCGACGAUGAUUAGGGGUCCUGAGAGGGAGAUCCCCCACACUGGUACUGAGACACGGACCAGACUCCUACGGGAGGCAGCAGUGAGGAAUAUUGGGCAAUGGAGGCAACUCUGACCCAGCCAUGCCGCGUGCAGGAAGACGGCCCUACGGGUUGUAAACUGCUUUUAUACAGGAAGAACACCACCCACGUGUGGGUGACUGACGGUACUGUAAGAAUAAGGACCGGCUAACUCCGUG
rnacentral:rRNA from 1 species